AACAAACGCUGGCGGCGUGCCUAAUACAUGCAAGUCGAGCGAGGAAAGCUUUCGGGUGAGUACUAGUGGCGCACGGGUGAGGAAUAUAUGGGUAAUCUGCCCUCGAGUUGGGGAUAACCAGUCGAAAGACUGGCUAAUACCGAAUAAGACCACAGGAUCUGCGGAUCUAGGGGUUAAAGGUUUUUCGCUUGAGGAUGAGCCCAUACGGGAUUAGCUAGUUGGCGAGGUAAUGGCUCACCAAGGCUACGAUCCCUAACUGGUCUUAGAGGAAGAUCAGUCACACUGGAACUGAGACACGGUCCAGACUCCUACGGGAGGCAGCAGUAGGGAAUAUUGCACAAUGGGGGAAACCCUGAUGCAGCGACGCCGCGUGAGUGAUGAAGGCCUUCGGGUCGUAAAGCUCUGUCGUAUGGGACUAACACAAUGAAAGUACCAUGCAAGAAAGGAUCGGCUAACUUCGUGCCAGCCGCCGCGGUAA
rnacentral:rRNA from 1 species